rnacentral:lncRNA from 1 species
GCUUCAGCAAUGUUUCCAUUCCGUCUCUUGGGAGGAGAUUGUACGUGAAGAGAAUCAGAAGCCCCAUCCCUUGACUACUGAGCCUCACCUGGUAACACCCACCUGCCAAGCUGACUGGACCUCAAGGAGUGUCACCGAGAAUUCCUGGGGAUGAUACAGCAAGGGCAGAGCCAGCUUGCCAACAGGUGCUCACACCUGGGACCCCAGGAGGGCCGCCCCACCAGGAAAAGGACACAAUCAAGCCCCAUUUGAGGUUCAGGAUUAAGAAAGCAGUAAGCGUCAGCUCCUCUGGAGGGCUCGCCCUAGCAUGGAGCACGUUAGAGCAGUCUUGCUGAAGGUCACGUUACGUCUAUGCUGUAGGAAGCCGGUCUCCAGGCAAAGGACAUUAGAAAAACCACCAGUGCGUUAACUCCCCAGGAACACAAAUCCUACAACAUGGACCAAUAAGAUGGCAUCCUUGCAAAGUGCCAAACACCCACGUACAACCUCAUGAUUGGCUUUGCAUCACUUCCCUCACAGGUAGCUUAAAUUAAGUCCAUUAACCUCAACCAGCAGCUCACCUUCCUUAAGCUAUACCUGCUACUAGAUCAGGGUUCUUUCUUUCCUUCUUUCUUUUUUAUUGCUGAGGAAGAUUCCUCCUGAGCUACCAUCUGUGCCAAUCUUCCUCUCCUUUGUAUGUGGGCCGCCACCACAGCAUAGCUGCCAACAAGCAGUGUAGGUCCACACCCAGGAACUGAACCUGGGCCCCCAGUGCAGAGAACACUGAACUUAACCACUAGGCCACGGGGCUGGACCCCAGGAUCAGGCGUUCCUAAGCCUAACUGCAGUCAUCACAGUGCAAUCCUCUGGGGGAAAUUUAGGAAGCAACGAUUCCUGAGCUCCACCCCACACCAAUUAAGGCAGAAUUGACAGGGGCGGGGCCUGGGCUGCUCCUAAUGUACAGUCAGGAGAGAUGAAUGCAAAGAACCACAAGACAGAGGGGCUUUCUAAAGAAGGCCUUGAGGAUCCGUGGAAAUAAACCUCCUCUCUGAAAGCUGCCCUCA